rnacentral:tRNA from 1 species
CAAAAAGUAGCUUACACUAAAGCGCCCGACCUACAAUCGAACGAUACUUACACAGUCUUUUUGA